rnacentral:lncRNA from 1 species
AAAUAUAAAAUAUAUUGGGGAUGCUCUUAACAAAUAAAAUAUCUAUUUUAAUAGAAAAAGGAGAUGAGCUCUCCGUCGCUCCGUAAUUUUCAUAGAAUUAUAGCUAAUAUGGAAUGGAUUGAAGCCGGUCACCACAAUGCUGACUUCAAAGCCGGAAGAUAGACCCAACUAAGAUGAGGUCAUGGGUGCUCUUGACAAAAUAUUCUUAAAAACUGUUUCCUUAGAAUUUGAAUCUAGAAUUUAGAAUCCCUCGGUGAAAGCCAUCUCGACCAAACUACCACCCUAGACGAUAACAAAAUAUUUUAUGUAUGUUGCUAUAUUUUUAUCAAGUUUUUUUAGAUGCCUCCUGAAUUUAUGUCCAAGAGUCAAAUACACUAAAUUUAAACUUUUUAACAAAUAGUUCUCUAAGUUUAUAUCCAAAGAUCAAAUACAUUUAAUUUAAAUUUUUUUAGCAAAUAGCUCUUAAAACUUUUGUCCAAGGAUUAAAUACAUUCAAUUUAAACUUUUUUACCAAAUAAUCUCCUUAAACUUUUUCAGAAAAUGACAGUUGGACACAGAUUGAGUGGGUUAAUUGCUGAAAUAUUUAAAUUGGAU